AUUGAACGCUGGCGGCAUGCCUAACACAUGCAAGUCGAACGGGGCAGCAAUGCCUAGUGGCGGACGGGUGAGGAAUACGUAGGAAUCUGCCUUUAAGUGGGGGAUAACCAGGGGAAACCCUGACUAAUACCGCAUGAUCUCUUCGGAGCAAAGAGGGGGACCGCAAGGCCUCUCGCUUCUGGAUGAGCCUACGGCUGAUUAGCUAGUUGGUAGGGUAAAGGCCUACCAAGGCGACGAUCAGUAACUGGUCUGAGAGGAUGAUCAGUCACACCGGAACUGAGACACGGAGCAGACUCCUACGAGGGGCAGCAGUGAGGAAUAUUGGUCAAGUGGCGCAAGCCUGAACCAGCCAUGCCGCGUGAGGGAUGACGGCCUUCGGGUUGUAAAGCACUUUAGCCUGGAAAGAAAAAACUUUGGUUAACACCCAAAGUCUUGACGGUACCAGGAGAAUAAGCACCGGCUAACUCUGUGCCAGCCGCCGCCGUAACAC
rnacentral:rRNA from 1 species